rnacentral:lncRNA from 1 species
GCCAGUAUCAAUGUUAUCCAAAUUGACGAGGCUGCUUUGAGAGAGGGGUUGCCUCUUAGAAAGUCGGAGCACGCCUUCUACUUGAAAUGGGCUGUCCACUCCUUCAGAAUCACCAACUGCGGUGUCCAGGACACUACCCAGGUUUGUAUAUUGCUUCACUUUUUUCACGUCGUGAAAGCUUUCGUAUCUGCACACCCUCUAAUUGGUGUUGUGUUUAUCCGACAGAUCCACACUCAUAUGUGCUACUCCAACUUCAAUGACAUCAUCCACUCAAUUAUCGACAUGGAUGCUGAUGUGAUAACCAUCGAGAACUCACGUUCAGAUGAAAAGCUCCUUUCAGUAUUCCGUGAAGGAGUGAAGUAUGGUGCUGGAAUCGGCCCUGG